AUUUAAACAAAAAAUUGAAAAAUCGGACAUCAAAACCGGUUCAGAAAGAGAUGAGAAUUCUGGUGAACGGGCAUAAAAAACGCACAUUAUGAUAAGAGGGAGUAUAGAUGUAGCGUCAAUCAUGGAUAAGAUGAGAGAAAAUAGACUUAGAUGGUUUGGUCAUGUUAUGAGAAGAAAAAAAUCGGAAGCCGUAAGAAGAGUUAUAGAAAUUAAUGUUGAAGGAAGAAGAGGUAGAGGAAGACCAAAAAAGAGAUGGAGAGAUGUUAUUAAAUGCCAUAUGAGGACAGCUGAUGUGAGUGUAAAGGACGUGGGAGUGUAAUGAUAUACAUAGUACAUCAUUAAUAUCAUAAUGUAUUAUUUAAGACUUCAAUCAAUCAAUCACACAAAAUGAAAUGAGAUCGUGUCAAGUGGAAGUUUAGGAUAAAGGUGGCCGACCUCAAGUAGUUGGGAUUAAGGCGAGAAAGAAAAAGAAGAAGAAUGUUCAAUUGUACUUUUUUCGCUUUGAACAUUUUUUUAUCCACGCAGAGUUUAUAUUAAGAUAUUAUUUUGUAAUUGUACAUGACACUGUAUUUUGUAUAUUUUAUCAAGAAAUGUGAUAUGUUAUAUAUAAAUAAGUUAUAUACGAAUUUAAAUAUAUGAAUUUGUUUAUUGUUUGAGUCUCUGUUAUCAGA